rnacentral:lncRNA from 1 species
GGAAUCACUGAGCAUUGGAAUGGAUAUAGACACUAAAGUGUCCAUUUUUCCAUAUUGAGAUCCUUAUAAAAUUUUAACUAUUUUUCAUAUGUUAGUGGAUGUCAUCACUAAAGAAAUGUGCACAGUAAAGAACUCAAAGUCAUAAAGAUGAUAUUACCAUAAUAAAGUUGCCCCUUAAUUGAAUGAAAUAGUGAGUCAAUAGGUAAAAAGGGUAUUUUUAGGCAAUCACUAGUUCGAUUGACACCCACCAAUAAUAUGUGCAACAAGAAGAUUGACAUUGAACAAACCAAGUUUCAAAACUCUGGACCAGCUUAUUGUAAGAAAUCCAUUUGGAAUAAUACAUCCACUCAGGACCCGUAAAAAUGCACCAACCAGAACAGACAAUAUAUUAUCAAAACACUCAUAAAUUAUGGAAGUAUUAACCUGUCACAAACCAAACCACCCAGACAACAUACAUGAAACAUGGCAUCAACCUGCAUAGCCAGCAUAUACAAACCAAACGCAGUCAAUUUAACAUCUAGAAGCAGCACUCAUAGCCAAGAAAUCAACAUGCAUUGAACAUGUAUCUACAGCACUUAUGACCAAGAAAUUACGAUAUGGCGAGCACGUACUGCAGGUAUAGCCCUUAAUCCAGCAUGUUCAGUAGGCAAAGGAAAUGAUACCGGAAGCAUGUACAAUUGUUCCAGGCCUCUAGGUGAAAUACCAUGGUACCCACUAAAAAGAAGCCAAUCGAGAAUGUAGCCCCACUUACAUGGGCCUUGCUCCUAAAAAAUAAACUUUGUCAAGUUGCACAGACUUAAAGACACCCUUCCGUAUACUCAACCAGAAUGUCACAAUUUCUUAAACAUGCACAAAUUACUUAUGAACUUCAUUUAGAUGAGAAGCGAGAACCUGGAAGAUGAGGGGGCUUUGGUGGUCAUUACUAUUUGAUCUGAAUCUUAUCAAAAAUCGACCACAUCUAACUCAAGGUAAUUAAACCACUGGGGGUUCGCUCCAGUGGCCACCCUUCCAACAUGGAAGGGGGAGGUGAGGGGUUCAAAUCCCCACCUCCUCAGGGGGGGAUGGGGGUAGGGACGCGUAAGUUUCGCGAGUGGGUUGCGACUCCCACGCCCUGCAAGAGGCAGGGCACAAGUCUGCAAGUGAGUGUAGAGUAGGAUUAGAGUAGGACUGACCAAAAAAAAAAAAAAAAAACUCAAGGUAAUUGAUAACGAGUCGUGGCAUUCAAUAACAAAGAAGAGCAACUCUGUUUCACUCAACUUGACAAACAACUCCAGGCUACUGAUUGAAACAAGAAAGGUCUCUGUGGCAAUGAAGUAAAAGGCGGGAGCAACAAGGUACUCUGAACAGGAAACAUUAACAGAUGGGAAUAUGAGUACGAAAACAGAACAUGAAGCAAAAUCGCACAUGAUCAUGCGUAAAAGGAGACGUUUGACUUGGCUUAUUUGUUGGAAUCCGAAUGCUCUAACUGAGAUGAGCGCAUUCCUACAGUUCCUGGCUAAGCAUAAUUGAAUUUCGCAAGGCAACACUACUGAUCCUUGUCUUGGAUAAUUUCACUGAAUACCUUCUGUGCGUCGUCUAACACAUGGCACCUCCCAUACCUUGACACCACCGCAUUGAACUCAAACUAGUACUCUCGAGCCAAUUAGCACCAGCAACCUUAUGGACCGAAGAAACAGUGAAUCUCGUUUGCGGCUAUGAAAAAUGAAUUCGAAAUUCGACACGCGAGUUUAAUCGGUAAAGAAACGAUUUGAUGAGUGUGAUAAUUGAUGGACAAAUUCCAUCAUCGUUGGAACGUCCUAAGGAGCUGGCCAUCUACGAAGAUUUCUCGACUCUUCUCUCUCUCUCCCCGUAUAACACGAAGUGCAUACCACGGCGAUUCAAAUGGAGCCGAAGUUGAUUGCCGAACUCAGCGACGUGAGCCUCUUCGUAAUUCGACGCCAACAGCCGACGGAACACUCAGUCGUGGGCCUCAAGCUUCUUUCUCCGAUCUCGAAGAAGCAUAUGCACCGAUGAAUCCACCGGCCUACUCGCGCAACUCUCGAUGUUGCUUUCCACACAGCAACCGGAGGUGAUUCAGUUCGAGGUAAGGUCUGACCGUCGGAGAACCUGACGGCGGGUAGGCGGAGACAUUUGAACACUCGAAUAGACGGAAUCCAGGGGAUCCAGGUUGGAGCUCCGUGCGUCUUCCGUGAUCGGAAAUGGAAGACUGGCGGUAGCUAAGCUAGAGAGGAAGUGAGAGGCACGCGACGCCCAGAAGAAUACAGAACUUCGUCAUUUUUUGGGUUUCCCUUUUGGGCAGGAGAUCCGUGGAAUGAUGGAAGGCAAAGGGUGGCUUUUACAUUUCUCUCGUGAAAUGACCAAAACGCCCUGCCCUAAAGGGAAAUGUUUAUUGGUUUGUCCAACUAGCAUAUAUUUCGGCGGAUCAAAUUCACUUGAUUUGUUGUAUUAAUUGAAGCCGAAUGUUCGUUAUGAAGUUGUUGAUGUCUGCACGCACCGAAUGUUUGAUGUUUUGUAUGAAUGAAAUAUGCUUUAGUCAUCUUAGACUCGCUUAUGCUCAAUCCCUAGUCACUAUGGCAUGUUCAAACACCAUUUUAAAGAGUGAAAUUUGGAUCGUGGUCAUUGGAAUGCUUGGUGGCUGGCAUCUACUAAGCACAACGUUGAUGUGUUUCGGUGUCAUAGGAGGAAGACAUUGGUUUAUCCAUGAUAACACAUUAAUUUAUUGCUCUUUGCUCACAUUUUUAGCGUGUUUCAGUCUCAUGUCUAUGUUGAAUAGCUUGGAAUUCAUAUCAAUUUAUCAUUGGAUGAUUGCAUUUUCAUGGCUUUAAUAUGUGGAACAUGAUCUGAAAUCUUGCUGAUGGUGAUUGUUUCUUUACCAAUUCGCAUGUGUUGGGAAUCCAACAGCAGAUGACUAUAGUUGGAUAUCAGUUGAUGAAAAUACUAAUAUUUCACUAUCUCAAGAAAGUUAGAGAAGAUUAAUUACCAUUUACUCCAUCACUGCCUCUACUUGACAUGGAAAUAACACCUCGUUGUCUGCAAAACGCCAACAAAUCAGCAUGCUACUCUGCUAGACACAAACUAACUCAAAUGAUCCAAAUAUAAUGUUCUUUGGAAUUGGAGAGCUUGCAAAAUCACAGUAGUAGCAGAUAUGAUGAUGAGCAACGCCAAACAAUAUAAAGAGGAAUAACAAAUUGAACGAAACAAGCCAGAGCAAGCCAGGAAAGAAAGCUAAAAGUGUCACGAUUAACAUGCCCCGCCUUACCCAUACAAGCUAUAAUUAUUGGCUGUCAUACGUUCAAUUAUGUAAAUAAAAAUGAUGGGUUUAUAAAAUAUUAGUUGAGCAUAGGGUCAUGAGAGGACUCAAUUUUGAUUUUCAAAUGCAACACUUGCUAUUUUCACAAUAUCUUCGAUUUAUUAAAUUAUUAUUAUUAUUAUUAUUAUUAUUAUUAUUAUUAUUAUUAUUAUUAUUAUUAUUAUUAUUAUUAUUAUUUAUGCUGAGGAUCCAGUCUAGCUUAUCUUACGGGAGCACAGCACCAAUUAUACCUCGAGAGAAACUAGCCCAACAACCUACCAGCCGGAGCCCGCUUAAGUCACAGAACUGCUCUAAGAAUUGUAGCGAACUCUAGGAGUCGAACCUCCUCACCUGAUGGUCAGGAGGCCAGGCCUCAACCAGCGCAGCCAUGUUGAGAUUGGUGUAAUUAUUGUUUUUCUUUCUAAAUUUUGGGUCAAAGGUUGGAAUCUCCUCAGGCACACCACUUGAUCAUCAAUCUCAUCUUUGAGGGAAAUUAUUAGUUAAGGCGAUACAUUUUAUUCUCAGAUAAACCCAAUUCCACCAUUAUUGCACUAAUGCGAGCUAAAUCCAUUUUAGGUAGGUAAGAUUCGAACUCUAAUUAAUUAUACCUUUUUUUUUUUAUAAAGGCCAAAUUAGAAACAUGUCUUGGAGAAUCCAUGAGAGUAGCUAAUAGGUUUAAGGUAUAGUGGUUAAGCACAUGUAGAAUCCAAGGCACGCUAUAAUUAAUUUUACUUGAUUAUAUAGAAAUAUGUUUCUUUUAAAUCACCAUCGUUAACUUGUGAGAUUCACAUAUGGAACCCACAUGGAAUUCAUAAAAUUAAUAAUCAUGAUUCAACCUAUCGAAGGAAUCGGAUCGAGGAAGUAAUUGGUGAAGGAGAGGAGGAAGUCCUCUAAAAUCCUAAGCCCAUUACCUUUCCCCAAUUGUUUGAACUUCGUCUCCAAAUGGAAGCUUCUCNNNNNNNNNNNNNNNNNNNNNNNNNNNNNNNNNNNNNNNNNNNNNNNNNNNNNNNNNNNNNNNNNNNNNNNNNNNNNNNNNNNNNNNNNNNNNNNNNNNNAAAAAAAAAGGCGAGGUUUAGAGGUCCCUUUUUGGCCUAGUAUAUAGGCAAACAUUUCUUUUUCGUUUUUGAUAAGUCAUCUUUUUUUUUUUCCAUAGUCUUAUUUUCACAUGAUAAAGAACGCUUAAAAUCUCUCUCAAUAUCAUCAGGAAAAUUUAGAUUCACUACCUAGCUUAAAUAAUUAAUAGAAGUUAAAAAAAGUCUGAAAGAUUCAUGAGUAUUGCCAUAUUGAACUCGAAAGUCGUAGCUCAUGCGGUCUGAGUUUGACCACCAUCACAUAUUCUUUCCACCAAAAUUUUACCACUCCUAAAGCACCCAUCAUAUAAUUUUCACUAUAUAAGAAAUCAAGAACGCGGCUUGUAGUAGCCAUAGACUGCAUAGAGGGCCUGUAGGAAAGUAAGCACAAGCAAAACGACAGCAGCCAUAAAGGAAAUGAUUGACUAGGGAUUGUCGAAGUACUUGUUCUCGAGAAUGGCUCUCCAAGCAUUCCAUUUUUGCGCAAUACUGGCUCUCCAGGAUAUACGUAAAGAAAUGUAUUUCCAUCUGCAGUCACCAUGAAAGACACAUUACGGAGAUAACUGUCUUCGCUAUCGAAGGCCACCUCUUGGCAAAGCAGGUUGAAGAGGUCAGCGACCUCGGCGUUGCUCCCAAGGCAGUGUUUGAUGAUCCCGCGCUUGCAGAGGUACUGAACAUCCUCGGAGGAGUUGAUCAAGUUGUGCAUGAACAUUACGUACGAGGUGAUGUGCUCCCUGCAAUCGAAGUGAGAUUGCUUGAAGGCUAUCAAGUUGAGAAAGAUCAACCUCGUCCCUUCUUGGAUCUUAAUGGAGGGGAUCUCGAGAAUCCCGUUCCCAGGCUGGAAUUGGAUGUCCCCCAAAAUUUCCAUGUUUCCCCUCACGAACUUGAUCCCGGCUUCCACGAGCUUGGUCAGGCGGGGAAUGAGGUUGUCCCGGUUUUGCCGCCACCCCUUGGUCCUCACUCGCUUUGGGCCAGCUCGCCUCAGGCUCGAGGGCAGGAAGCUCUGCCAGAGCACUUCGAGGCAAUGGAGCCCGCACUGGUCGCGUGACGGGUCAAACUCCACUCGUUCUCUGCCAAUAGGAUCGAAGAACUCGAGCACCAGCUUGCCCACGUGCCCCUCUUGAUCGGGGUUGCCCAACUGGAGACCGAGCAGCCGGGCAAGUAUGAAGAGCGGGACCUAAUUCUCGAGCAAAAUCAUGUCACGCUGGAUCUGGAUCUUGAGCAUUGAUCCCCACUUUGAGAAGACAGGGUCAUUGCUUGGGUAGCCCAGUUUCUCGAACCCCUUGGCAACUCCCUGUAAUAGCUCGAUCACAAAGCACCCAUCCAGAACCAUCAUAUGCACGAAGCUACCGCUGCUCAUGGAUAUCUUUCCAUCGUAGCAGGAGCGAGCUCUUUGCUCGACCAUCUUCACGGAGUCUAUAUAGAGGCCUAUCUCGUGAUGGGAGCGCUCGAGGAUGCGGCAGAGGCAAUGCCACUUGUGCUGGUCCAUAUGGCGGAGGUGGUCCUUGCCGUGGUGAUACGGCUCGAGAGAGACGAUUUGGGGGACAUAGGCCUUCUUGUUGCCAUCCUUGAGAUAGUCUGGGAUUCGGUAAAUGGAGAGCUUUGCCCAUGAGCCCUCCACGUUGUCUUGGUGAUGUUGCUCGAGCUGCUCUUUCAUAGAGAUUGCACACUCGGACGAGGACACUCUCGGCUCAUCUUUGGGUACAUUUUCGGCCCCGUUGUUGUCGGCCACGAUCCGGAGAGCCUCGGAUGGUUCUUGCUGUACCUUCGGGAGUCCAGAUUCCACAGCAGCCAUUUCUUGUGAAUAAUUGGGUCUAUGUUUCUUGGUCUUUGCCUUCCUUGGGUUUUGAUCUUUGAAUUGAUGCUUUCUAAAGCCCCUGAAGAAAACAUUAAAAAAAGAAUUAGAAAAAGAAAAAGAAGCAGAAUUAGCACUUUAUAAUAUUAGCCCUUAAGAAAUCACGUGGAUUUCGUCAUCAUAUUGCUAGUGUAAAAGCCUGAUAAACAACAUUGCCCCACCUUACCCAUGAAGGUACAAUUGUUGGACUGACCUUUCAUAUUUCCAAUAGGAAACGGACACCGCGUGCUCACCGUGAAGCGCAUGUACGUAUAGUCCCCCCAUUUAGGUCGCGCAGAAUGGUUGGGCUUGUAUUUUGCCCCAUUUAUCCUUUUAAUUAGAUUUUCAUAAAUCAACUGAUGGCAAAAUUAGUUAGUCAAAUAGGGUAUCAUUUUGCAUGUAAGAAUCGGUGAUAAUGCCUCACUCCCCUUAAAAAUAGCAUUAAAGGAAUAGCAUAGUAUUAGAUAUCACUAUGCCCAUCUAUCCUCUCUUUUACAAGCUAUCAAGUGAGUUUCAAUUUCUUUGUAUUCUUUCUCUUUCACCCGAAUGUUGUGUGUACUCAACGCGGUUCCUUUCAAGUAUAUAGAGAACGGGUUGAACUGAAUAGAGGAUGAAUAUGCAUGAUGCAACUUAUUAACACCUAAAUUUUUGGAAACCCAUUUAGUCAGUUAUUACAUAAAAUUAGGGAUUAAUUAAAAAAAAAUUAAGUUGCAUGUUUAAUUAUGUGGUAAUUUUAAAUUUCGAAUUUUAUAAAAAAACAUAAAAAUUAUCAUAUAGAAUUAGGGCAUUAUUUGCACAUCAUUUCAUGUUAUGAUUGCAUAUUAUAGGUUUAGAUAAUUUUUGUUAGAUAAGAUUGCAUGCUUUUGUUAGGAAAAUAAGUUCAUGGAAUGCACAUCAUUUAGUGAUUAUUGCUAGGUCCAUUUAAUCAUAAAUUGAUCGUCAUUAGAAUUAAGUCAUUAGGUUAAUUUAGAUUACACAUUUAAUUAUUACAUUUCUUUAAAAAUCAUUUUACUCACAUCAUAUAGUUUAGGUCACAUUGUCAUGCCAUAUCAUUUCAUGUUAGAUUAGUAGCAUUGCAUUGCAUAUAGAUUAUAUUCUCAUUAAAUAAAGUGAAAACAAAAAUUGAAUGAUUACGUGUUAAUUAUAAAUCAUAUCUAGGAUUGUUGACGUGAAUUCUGAUCUAACAAUGUAGAUGCUUUCGUUGCCUAUGAGGUAAGUCCUACAUUUUUUUUUUUUUAAUUUGCUUUCUUGAGUAUUAAAUUGGUAGUUUGCACACUCGUGUGAUCACCUUACAUGUUAUAAAAGUGAAUUAAAAUUAAUUCAAGCUGCUUGCAAAACAUUUUUUUUUCGAAAUAAAAAUAAAAAUGUACCGAAAUGGCAUUAGAAAAGUCUAAUGUAACCAAGUUCCUGUACCCAAAGUCUCUAGUUCGCAAAAGUAAAAUAAUUCUUCCAUUAUUUUACUAAUUAUUUUAGUUAUGUGUCUAAUCGACCUACUGUAAACUGAUUAAUGGCGACUCCCUUUUGCAUGUUAAAUAUUUGAAAUUAAGUCGCGAAUUGAAAUGGGCUUGGGAGAGCUCGAGGGUCCGUUAACCUAAUUUUAGGUGGUGAAUCCGAAGUUUAGGUCACGAUAGCGUGGCGACUUUGCUGGGAUUUGAGUUAAUACUCUUAGUGAACUUAGGCCAAUGUUCUCUUUUAUUUGAAAAAAUAUUUUUGUUUUGCAAGAUGAGAGGUAUAAUGGGAAGUGUUUGCUAACCUCUGUUUUGUAGAAAUGUGUAGGAAUGUAUGGUUUAUUUUCAUGCUGAAAUGUUGCUUGAUAUAAACUGUUGUGCAUGCCCACAUUUACACUACACUCUUGCACACACAACCCGCCGCUGGACUUGGGCCACAUAGUAUUAUCUAGGAUGAUAUUGAGAUGGAUACCACUUUAACCGCAUGCCUGCAAUACAAGUUACCCAUUUCGAUUCCAAAACUUCUUUUUUUGUGUCAAGAAUACCUACCUCGGUCCGCAUGCUCACAACCUAGGUCGGCUCUUUGACCAAGCCGAAGUCAUGAGGACUCGACAUAGUCUGCACGCCCAUGGCUAGUAUGAUCAUCCUUGUGGCUUCACUUUGCUAAGCCUAUCUAGAGUAAAAAUCGAGCCUCACAUCUCAUGUGCAUGUAUGUCGCGAUCUAAAUUUCGGGUGCACUACCUAAGUUUAAGCUAAUGGACUACUAAGUCUUUAAACUUAGCUCAGACUCUCCCAAAUCCAUACCAAUUCACGGCUUAAGGUUUAAGUAUUUAGCAUGCAAAAGAUUAUUAGCUAGGAGCCACCACUAAUUGGUUCAGUGUAAGUUGAUUAGACACCUAAGUAAAAUAAUGAAAUAAUUAUUUUACUGCUACGAACUAGAGACUAGGGGCAUGGGGACUUGAUUACAUUAGAUUUCUCUAAUGUCUUUUCGGUACCAUUUCUUUUUAAUUUUCAAAAAUGUGUUUUUGUAGGCAACUUAGAUUUACUUUAACCUAAAUUACUAUCAUGCAAUGGGGCGAUCACACAGAUGCUCAAUCGUUAAAACAUUGAAUAAAAUAAAUUGCACCAAAUGAAUUCAACACACUAAAGCAAGUAAUUAUUUUUUUUGAAUUUUUCUUUUAAUUAGAACCUUAUCAUAAAACAUGCAUUUAACUACAUGACCUAACUUUACUAACAAACUAUUUCUAAUUAAAUGAACCUAGCAUGAAAACUAAUUGACAUGCACCUAAUAUUUUUGUGUUUUUUUUUUAAUUUGAAAUUCGGAAUUAAUAAAAACCCUAAUUAAACUAUCUAAAAUAAAUAAUUUUCUAACUUAUUUUAGGGGUUAAUUUGACUUAAAUCCUAUCCUAUCUUAAAAAACUAUUUUUUUUAGAAAAAUGAGGUUAUUUAAAUGUGCAAACAUUAUCUAAAAUCAAUCCUAAUCUAUUCCAAAAAUCUUAUAAAAAUGCAAUCCUAAAAAUGCAACCCUAAUUUACUAACACACUCCAAUGCAAGAUUUGAUUUUUAUUUUUGUUUUUAUGUUUUUUAGUGUUUUUCCAAGAUAAACAAUAUGAAAUUAAAUCUAAACUAAUCAAGAUAUCCAUUAAAUAAAUGAUUAGAAUAAUCGAAAAAAUAACCUAUUAUCUCACAGGUCAAAUUACAGAUUACUUUAACCCUAAACAUCACAACAAAAAUUCAAAAUAAUUAAAAAUCCGAUCUGAAGUCUUACGAACCAAAUUAAUAAUUAUAAUGAUUUAACAAUUAAAAUAUUAUCAAAAUGCCCAAAAAUUAAAAUAAUUAAAAAAAUGAUUCGACGUCUUACGAAUCAAAUUAAUAAUUACAAUAAUUUUGGGCAAAACCUAAUGCCUACAAUAUUCAUAAAAUGAACCUCGAGAUCAAAUGUUCCAAUUUAAAUAACUAAACCUAAUAAAAUAAAUGAAAAAUAAAAAUAAAAUAAACUACCUAAAUUGAUUUACUGUUGAUGAAUCGAUAUGUUGCCUUUUUUCUUAUUGGGGCAUGCUUUGCGGACAAGUUUUCAGCUUGAGGACCUUGACUCCCGAUGGAAGUUAGUCUUUGAUAGUUCCUUGUACGAUAAAAAGCAUAGUUUUUUUUUUUUUUUUUGGGGUCAAAAAAACGCCGCAUAGUUCAUUAGGUGCUUUCUGCGGGUGCAGCCAAUAGAACAAUUAAUCUUCCAUGGACAAGAACGCGGGGUCCUCUUUGCCAGAAGAUAUCCUCGACCGGUUGUUUGCUGAGUCUAAAACCACAAGUCUAGCGGAUGCCUUAGAAGUUCUUGCGAAAAUAUCAAGAAAUAUUUAAGGACACUUAAAAUAUUUAAAUUCUGAAAUUCUGGUACCAUCACUGAAGCUUCUGAGGAACCUAUGUGCUUAGAGAAGUCGUAAAUCAGAAUACUUUCAUUGAGAAGAAUGGAGUUGGAAUCACUUUGACCAUCUUGAGGGCUCCGAUGCGCGCCCUUGCCUUAGAUUGCAAAGCCGUCAGGAUAGCCUUGCACGCUCUAGCAAAUGUCUCAUUGGCUAGAACAAACUAUUUGGGUUCAGUUCUUUUCGAAUGAAUUUCUCAUGCGUGCAAGAAUUUGGAGCCAAGACAUAGUCGAUCCUUUGUGUAUGAUACUAUAUACUUGUCAAGAUGGGAAUCUUGUACGUGUGGCAGAGCCAUGCGAAGAUCCUGGUUUGUCUUUGGCAUCGGAAAUUGCUUGGACUACUUCGAUAGGUACGUUCCAUUUUCGCUUGCUUCUCUUUAGGUCACUUUCUCAAGUUCUUUUCCUCCCACUUUGAUUGAACCUAAUUGCAUUCCUGUCUUCAUCACAUAAUGUCAUAUUCUCUUGUUUGACUGUUGGAUUUCAAGAAGAAUGGUUUAAUAUGCUUCUCUCAGUCAUUUGCUUAGAAGAAGCACAUUUACUUACUUUAUUUGCCGAACUAGCUGUUGCUCCCACUGAUGACAGCAAUGAUGUACAGUUGGGUUGUGAUGAGUUUUCACUCGAUCAAAUGUUUCUCAUUAGCACCUGUGGGAGAAUAAAUGUCGUCACUAUCUCUAAUGAGUUUACAUUAUACAUUCUCGGAGUAUUCAGAAAAGCUAGCGGGCUUGUUGAUUUUUCCGAGGAGGCCAAGUUAAGUCUUCCUACAGGUCCUCUCAUAUCAAUGUCCUUGGUUACACACUCACCACGCUGAGAGAUAAUUUGCGCACAGUAUGGGGCAUGAGGACCCAUGGGAAAUGCACAAGAUGCAAGAGGCGCACUUCUCUUGCUUGGGUCUUUUGAAUUCGCUUCCUAAUUAUCAUAAAAGCCCUUAAUCAGGGUCAGCACCAAGGCAGUGCAGAUUCGUAACAACUGAAACAGUACCCUUACGAGGGGUUACGCAGAGACAUUAUUGCAGUUAUCGGCAAUUGUUUGUACUGGGGGAGGAGCAUGCAAGAUAAGUUCAGAUGCAAUAAUGGGAUUACUUUGCUUAUGCAGCAGUGCGUUGCAGAUGAAGAUAACCCAUUCUUGAGAGAAGGGGGUAUUUGGACAAUCAGAAACUUGUUCGAGAGAAAUACCGGAAACCAACAAGCAGUUGCUGAAUUGGAGCUCUGGGGAACUGUUAAUACACCGGAGAUUGCAGAGCUGGUCUUCGAGUGGAGUUGGAUCAGAAGACUGGAAGACCAAAGCCGUAAAUUUUGCAUAAAAAUUGUCAAAUGUCUAUUAAUCCGCUUGAUAAGCAUACCCUUUUCUAUAGUUUCUUAAAAUAUUCCAUCAUGUGUUUUUUCUGAUGUCUUAAUCAACGGAAAUAUUGUCCAUGGCAUCCUGGUGGCAAUUUUGGCCCCUAGAUAUUGAGGAAAAAGCGAGAAUAAAGAAAUUUUGAUGAAUUAGCAUGUUCUUAUGAUGUUUGUUUUAAUUUUCGAGACUACAAGCGGUGACAAUAUUGAGUUCUUCUCAUUUUCCUUGUCUGUGAUAAAAAUUUACUCUUAUUGAAAUAAAGGACCUUCAAAUCUUGGAGAAGUACGCACACCAGUGUUUUGAAGAAAAAAGGGUACGCCUAAGGAAGUGUCGGAAAAGUGUACACCAACUAAUUCAAACUUCCCGGCCAGAAACAGGGCAGAAAAGAGGAGUUUUGGCGCCGUGGUAGGAGCGGUGGAGAUCGGCAGCCACGGCAGAUUUCUGGCGAUUGAGAACGACGGAGAAGACCUGUGACAGAGAAAUCAGUAAUAAUGUUUUAUCAGCUCUCGGCUCCCCGCAAAAUCAUGCUCUGUUUUCAAGUACACGUGUAAUUAAAAUCCAGAGAAUCGUAAGACACGUGCAAUUAAAAUCGAAGUACAAUUUUUUGGUGAAAAAUUCGGGGGCAGACAACAAUUCGUGGUUAAUCGUAGAUUGACAACAUUAUUUUUCAGAAUCACUCGUCCGACUAAGCACUCAACGGUCACAAAGCCCUAAUGUUUCCUAUUUUGAAACUCCCGCAUCUCACUGAUGAUCCACUCAGAAUUCUCAGUCUUCAAGUAUUUCCUAAUAUUUCCUAAUUUGGAUUCGCACUAGCUUUCUUCUUCCCCUCCCUCUCACCCCUUCUUCGUCACGCUCUCUCUCUCUCUCUCUCUCUCUCUCUCUCUCUCUCUCUCCCUCUCCCUCUCUCUCUGUGGCAAAACCCACGAUCAUCGUCUCUUCGUCUGUUCAUCCCUUCAUCACUUGGCGAUAAUGGGGUAUCAAAGUUUUCCGGCAGCGACGGUCUACUUUCGGUCUGCAAACCGUCUUUCAAAGGGGGAGAGAAAGAUGAAGCUCGAUUUCUCAUCUCUCAAUCUCUUGGCAGACGUAGCUUCUUUCAUCUCCGAGGGAAAGCUAAGUCUCGGGCCUUCCAUCUUUGAUCGCGAUGGUGAGAAGAAGGUCACCCUCGUGACCACCACCACUUUUGGGCCAAUCGGUGUCGGAUGGAUCGUUCGGAAGAAGAGAUCCCCGCGAGCGCGAAGGCCGACAUUCCACGCCCAGACGUCAAGUUCUGACCCAUUUGUCGUUGUCCAAAACAACAAGCAGGAGCCUUCGAGAGCUGUCGCUGAGAACCACAAGAAGAGGUCGCGUACAUUUGAUUCAUCCGAAACCCAAGAAGAAUGGGGAAGAGUUUCCAAGAAACCCAAGAAAACUCCCAAGACGGGUCUCGCGGCUCUAAUCGGACCAAGCAAAUUGCCGACGAAGUACAUAGACAAAAUUCAGGAGAUGCAAGGUCGGGAUAUGACGCUCGUGUUGGAGAAGACUCUUACUGCCACGGACAUGAGCCGAGGCCAAAGUAGGCUCUCUAUACCCAACAAGCAGAUAAGGCAAGGUUUCCUGAGCGAAGAAGAGAUCCGAAUCCUAGAUAGGAAGGAAGGCAUUAAGGUUUCCCUCAUUGAGCCGUGCCUCAAAGUUUCUCAUGGAUUACAACUGAAGAGGUGGAAUUACAAGAGCAGAAUUUUUUCUUACGUGUUGACGGAGAGGUGGAAUGGAGUCGCGCAUCCUUAUGCGCGGAAUGAACUCAUGAAGGAUGUUCUCAUUCAGCUGUGGUCCUUCAGGGUGGAUGGCAGCCUUUGGUUUUGCCUCAAGAAAGUUGAAGACCAUCAAGGCAAUGGAUACGAUGGCUGUGAUCUUCCUCAUAUUUCGUGAAGAAGUAAUUCCUGAUAUUUCUCUACGUUCACCCUGGUACAUAACUAGUUAGCUUCACUUUUCUUAUACUUUUUUUUUAAAUUUCAAUGUUUAGGUAAUUUCAUUCUUUCCUAUUAUUUCGGGACCACUAUUGGCGUCUCGAUGAAGUUAGAAGUGAUAGGAGCUGAGGCAGUCCUCAUAGAUCAGCUAUGGUCGACCAUGAUUUUUUGAUGAAGUUUUUUGUUGUUCUCGAGUUUUUCUUUUUUUGUAUUUUUGGUUGCGGUUGGCAUUUUAUACAUUCAAAUGAGAAGUGUAUAUAGUGCUAUGGAAUCACUGAGCAUUGGAAUGGAUAUAGACACUAAAGUGUCCAUUUUUCCAUAUUGAGAUCCUUAUAAAAUUUUAACUAAUUUUCAUAUGUUAGUGGAUGUCAUCACUAAAGAAAUGUGCACGGUAAAGAACUCAAAGUCAUAAAGAUGAUAUUACCAUAAUAAAGUUGCCUCUUAAUUGAACGAAAUAGUGAGCCAAUAGGUAAAAAGGUAUUUUUAGGCAAUCACUAGUUCGAUUGACACCCACCAAUAAUAUGCGCAACAAGAAGAUUGACAUUGAACAAACCAAGUUUCAAAACUCUAGACCGGCUUAUUGAAAGAAAUCCAUUUGGAAUAAUACAUCCACUCAUCAAUGGACCCGUAAAAAUGCACCAACCA